rnacentral:rRNA from 1 species
UACGUAGGUGGCAAGCGUUGUCCGGAUUUACUGGGCGUAAAGGGCGUGCAGGCGGUCUGUUAAGUCUAGGGUGAAAGCUCCCGGCUCAACUGGGAGAGGUCCUUGGAUACUGGCGGACUUGAGGGAGGCAGAGGAGUAUGGAAUUCCCGGUGUAGUGGUGAUAUGCGUAGAUAUCGGGAGGAACACCAGUGGCGAAGGCGGUACUCUGGGCCUUACCUGACGCUGAGACGCGAAAGCGUGGGGAGCGAACAGG